UACAGAGGCCCCAAGCAUUAUCCGGAAUCACUGGGCGUAAAGGGUGUGUAGGCGGUCAUAUUAGUCGUUUGUGAAAGGCCUCGGGCUUAACCCGGGGAGCGCAACCGAAACGGUAUGACUGAGAGGACGCGAGAGGUAUAUGGAACUCAUGGUGUAGGGGUGAAAUCCGUUGAUAUCAUGGGGAACACCAAAUGCGAAGGCAAUAUACUGGCGCGCUCCUGACGCUGAAACACGAAAGCGUGGGAAUCGAACGGG
rnacentral:rRNA from 1 species